rnacentral:lncRNA from 12 species
CACAACAUUAAAUAGCAAAUAAAGAGAUAUGGAAGCAAGAAGAAGGCUUUUUCUUUGUUGUUUGAACAAGGAUACCUGCAUCUUCAUUUUGCACCGGGCCCCCAUUUAUGGGACUACAAUUAUGUAGUCAGCACCAAGGAGAAGAAAGGAUUUGCAGAAGCAAAAGGGCUGCAGAACAGACUGCGCAGAGCAGCCGGACUUGGAGCCCACCAGUUCCUGGUGGGCAAGCAGGAUGGCAUUCUCCAGAAGCUCCAUCAGCCCAGACACAGGAGUGUAGGAAGUAGCGAGGGCAAAAAUUAGCGAGGGAUGGCUGUGACAGAUGAAGAAACUCAAGCUCCAAGAAGUUAAAAUGACCUGGCCAAGGGAGCUACCAGGCUGUCGGCAAACUGCUAGUCCUUAAGCCCUGUGCUCAUACUAAGAUGUGCUAUUUCUCAGAUCUUUAUGCCUAGAAGCACAAGGAUUUUGCUGUCUACUUCUUUCUUUUCCCUUGGACCUCCCAAGAUGACUGAGCCAGCCCCAUUCCAUGAGGAAAGGAGAAUGGGAGAAAGGUCUAAAGUCAUCCACUUCAAGUUUCAAGGAUGGCUCCCCAUGGAGUUGAUUGAUAUGUUGCCGAUGAAGACUAUCCCAUCAUAAAAAACACUGUGUGUCAUAUUUUCAAAUUUUUCAGUCUUGAGAGAUUCUUUGGUGGGAUAAAAUAAGUUUAAAGACAAAAAAGAAAAAGAAAAAAAACAAAAAAACCCCCACCUAAUCACCUAAG